CUUGUUUUUAUCCAUUGUAUUGUGCUUUUGAGUGUGUUGGGAUGUUUUUAAUGCCUGAGUGUGGUUUUUAAAUUUUGUUUUACAGCCGUGACAAAAGAUGAAUUUCUGUGGACUUAAACUUUUGCCCA